rnacentral:sRNA from 1 species
AAGUAGUCACCCGUCAAGGAUUGAAACGGCAUCCUUUUCGGCAAAAGAUAUAGUGAAAAGCCUGGCCGGAG